CGCCUCUUGAGUUUUCAUAAGAGGUCCAGCCUGCCCAGUGACCCUGUUCAACGGCCGCGGUAUCCUAACCGUGCGAAGGUAGCGUAAUCACUUGUUCUCUAAAUGUGGACUAGUAUGAAUGGCAUCACGAAGGUUACACUGUCUCCUUUUUCUAAUCAGUGAAACUAAUCUCCCCGUGAAGAAGCGGGGAUGAAGCUAUAAGACGAGAAGACCCUAUGGAGCUUAAAACAGUACAGCAUCUGCCCAUAACACAUAAAUUUCUGAAUGAAGACUCUACUGGACAGCAUGACUGCGAGUUUUUGGUUGGGGUGACCACGGAGCACAGUACAACCUCCAUGCUGAAAGAAAAUUUCUAAGCUAAGAUCUACAAACCUAAGC
rnacentral:rRNA from 1 species